GUCUUCAUCUCACUGGAAACUCUGGAAUCAAAAUCAAAACCAGCUGAGGUAGUUACUCGGGUGCCUUCCCUCAGCUUAUUCAAAAGAAUAUAGGAUGAACGGGCCAUGGGUCCUUUGAUCACAGUCAUGGAGAUUACUUGGUCUUUGCUCCUGGAUAUCUGUAUGUAAGUUCAUCUUCACCUACACUCCAGCCACAACAGCUAUCAUCAUGGUUUCAGUUACGAAGAGUCCACCAGCAGAACUUCAAUGAGCAUUUUACCUUCAGCUUGAUAGAAACUUCCAGCUCUUCAGACUGAAGUGGACUCAUGAAAUGCUGUAGUAGAUAAGAAGUGGACAACCAACAGAAAGAGGACUCCAUGAUGCAGCUUCCGUGAAGAUGUCGUUCAUGAUGGAGGAAGCUUCUCUAUUAUGACUGAGC